UACGAAGGGUGCAACCGUUGCUCGGAAUUAUUGGGCGUAAAGCGCACGUAGGCGGCUUAGUAAGUUGGAUGUGAAAUCCCUCGGCUUAACCAAGGAAGUGCAUCCAAAACUACUGAGCUUGAGUACUAAAGAGGAUCGCGGAAUUCCCGGUGUAGAGGUGAAAUUCGUAGAUAUCGGGAGGAACACCAGUGGCGAAGGCGGCGAUCUGGGUAGAUACUGACGCUGAGGUGCGAAAGCGUGGGGAGCAAACAGG
rnacentral:rRNA from 1 species